rnacentral:rRNA from 1 species
UACGUAGGGUGCAAGCGUUAUCCGGAAUUAUUGGGCGUAAAGAGCUCGUAGGCGGUUUUGUCGCGUCUGCUGUGAAAACCCGAGGCUCAACCUCGGGCCUGCAGUGGGUACGGGGCAGACUAGAGUGCGGUAGGGGAGAUUGGAAUUCCUGGUGUAGCGGUGGAAUGCGCAGAUAUCAGGAGGACACCGAUGGCGAAGGCAGAUCUCUGGGCCGUAACUGACGCUGAGGAGCGAAAGCGUGGGGAGCGAACAGG